UACGAAGGGGGCUAGCGUUGUUCGGAAUCACUGGGCGUAAAGGGCGCGUAGGCGGCGCGACAAGUCAGGCGUGAAAGCCCCGGGGUCAACCCGGGAAUUGCGCUUGAUACUGUCGUGCUUGAGGCCGGGAGAGGAUGGCGGAAUUCCCAGUGUAGAGGUGAAAUUCGUAGAUAUUCGCAAGAACACCAGUGGCGAAGGCGGCUCACUGGCCCGUAACUGACGCUGAGGCACGAAAGCGUGGAGAGCAAACAGG
rnacentral:rRNA from 1 species